rnacentral:rRNA from 1 species
GAUGAACGCUGGCGGCGUGCCUAAUACAUGCAAGCCGAGCGAACAGACGAGGAGCUUGCUCCUCUGACGCUAGCGGCGGACGGGUGAGUAACACGUGGAUAACCUACCUAUAAGACUGGGAUAACUUCGGGAAACCGGAGCUAAUACCGGAUAAUAUAUUGAACCGCAUGGUUCAAUAGUGAAAGACGGUUUUGCUGUCACUUAUAGAUGGAUCCGCGCCGCAUUAGCUAGUUGGUAAGGUAACGGCUUACCAAGGCAACGAUGCGUAGCCGACCUGAGAGGGUGAUCGGCCACACUGGAACUGAGACACGGUCCAGACUCCUACGGGAGGCAGCAGUAGGGAAUCUUCCGCAAUGGGCGAAAGCCUGACGGAGCAACGCCGCGUGAGUGAUGAAGGUCUUCGGAUCGUAAAACUCUGUUAUUAGGGAAGAACAAAUGUGUAAGUAACUAUGCACGUCUUGACGGUACCUAAUCAGAAAGCCACGGCUAACUACGUG